GAGAGUGAAAAAAAAAAAAAAAAAAGGAGGGAGGGAGGGAGGGGGGGUUGUAAUUUGUUCAAAAGUGAGCUGAUCAGAAGGGAAUAGCCGUCCUCUCUCUUUCUUUCUUUCUUUCUC
rnacentral:miRNA from 1 species